CGCCGAAAAUGUCCGGGGCUAAAACACAACACCGAAGCUUAGGAAUGUAAUUAUACAUUGGUAGAGGAGCAUUCUUAAAGAGACGAAGCAGUACCGAUAAGGAGCUGUGGAUUUUUAAGAAGAGAGAAUGCCGGAAUGAGUAGCGAGAUGGAGGUGGGAAUCCUCCAGGCCGAAUAUCUAAGGUUUCCAGAGUAAAGCUGAUCUGCUCUGGGUAAGUCGGGGCCUAAGGCGAGGUCGAAAGACGUAGUCGAUGGAUAACAGGUUGAAAUUCCUGUACUAUCCUGUAACAGAACUGUGGGGACACAGGCAGAGAGCGUGAGCCGGGAAUGGAAAGACCGGUACAAGCGAGGUAGGAGUUCAGUUGGCAAAUCCGCUGAACAAUCUGAAGACGUGAUGUGGACUGAAAAUAAGUAGGGAAGCACGUGAGCUGACUGUCAAGAAAAGCCGCUAUUGUUUGCAGGAUACCCGUACCGUAAACCGACACAGGUGGAUGAGGAGAGAAUCCUAAGGCCGACGGGAGAAGCAUUGUUAAGGAACUCGGCAAAAUGACUCCGUAACUUCGGGAGAAGGAGUGCCAGUAAGAUGGCCGCAGAGAAUUGGCCCAAGCAACUGUUUAGCAAAAACACAGGUCUAUGCAAAACCGAAAGGUGAGGUAUAUGGGCUGACGCCUGCCCGGUGCUGGAAGGUUAAGGGGAGAGGUUAGCGCAAGCGAAGCUUUGAACUUAAGCCCCAGUAAACGGCGGCCGUAACUAUAACGGUCCUAAGGUAGCGAAAUUCCUUGUCGGGUAAGUUCCGACCCGCACGAAAGGCGUAAUGAUUUGGGCACUGUCUCAACAAUGCACCCGGUGAAAUUGAAAUACCAGUGAAGAUGCUGGUUACCUGCGCCAGGACGGAAAGACCCCAUGGAGCUUUACUCCAGCUUGAUACUGGGAUUCGGUAUUGCAUGUACAGGAUAGGUGGGAGGCUAGGAAAUGGUAACGCCAGUUGCCAUGGAGCCGCUGUUGGGAUACCACCCUUGCAGUACUGGGUUUCUAACCAGCAGCCGUGAUCCGGCUGGGGGACAAUGUCAGGUGGGGAGUUUGACUGGGGCGGUCGCCUCCGAAAGGGUAUCGGAGGCGCUCAAAGGUUCCCUCAGAAUGGUUGGAAACCAUUCGAAGAGUGCAAAGGCAGAAGGGAGCUUGACUGCGACACCGACGGGUGGAGCAGGUACGAAAGUAGGACUUAGUGAUCCGGUGGUAUAAAGUGGGAUUGCCAUCGCUCAACGGAUAAAAGCUACCCUGGGGAUAACAGGCUUAUCACUCCCAAGAGUUCACAUCGACGGAGUGGUUUGGCACCUCGAUGUCGGCUCAUCGCAUCCUGGGGCUGUAGUAGGUCCCAAGGGUUGGGCUGUUCGCCCAUUAAAGCGGUACGCGAGCUGGGUUCAGAACGUCGUGAGACAGUUCGGUCCCUAUCCGGCGUGGGCGUAAGAUAUUUGAGAGGAGCUGUCCUUAGUACGAGAGGACCGGGAUGGACUGGCCGCUGGUGUAUCUGUUGUCUUACCAAAGGCAUAGCAGAGUAGCCAAGCCGGGAAGGGAUAAACGCUGAAGGCAUCUAAGCGUGAAGCCCCCCUCAAGAUGAGAUAUCUCAUAACGUCAAGUUAGUAAGACCCCUUGA
rnacentral:rRNA from 1 species